rnacentral:misc_RNA from 1 species
UCCGGUUUGUCACCGGCAGUCUCGCAUGAGUCCCCAACUAAAUGCUGGCAACAUGCGACGGGGGUUGCGCUCGUUGCGGGACUUAACCCAACAUCUCACGACACGAGCUGACGACAGCCAUGCAGCACCUGUGCACUCGCCCCUUGCGGGAAGGAAGCUAUCUCUAGCGACCAUACGAGGCAUGUCAAAGGUUGGUAAGGUUCUUCGCGUUGCAUCGAAUUGAGCCACAUGCUCCACCGCUUGUGCGGGCCCCCGUCAAUUCCUUUGAGUUUCAGCCUUGCGGCCGUACUCCCCAGGCGGGGCACUUAACGCGUUAGCUGCGGCACCGAAGGGGUCGCUCCCCCCGGCACCUAGUGCCCAUCGUUUACAGCGUGGACUAC